GACGAACGCUGGCGGCGUGCUUAACACAUGCAAGUCGAGCGGUAAGGCCCUUUCGGGGUACGACGAGCGGCGAACGGGUGAGUAACACGUGGGUGACCUGCCCUCCAGCUCUGGGAUAAGCCUGGGAAACGUGGGUCUAAUACUGGAUAUGACUCCACGGUGCAUGUCGGUGGGGUGGAAAGCCUUGUGCGGCUGAGGAUGGGCCCGCGGCCUAUCAGCUUGUUGGUGGGGUGACGGCCUACCAAGGCGACGACGGGUAGCCGGCCUGAGAGGGCGACCGGCCACACUGGGAC
rnacentral:rRNA from 1 species